rnacentral:lncRNA from 1 species
AAAAAAAAAAAAAAAAAAAAAAAAAAAAAAAAAAAAAAAAAAAAAAAAAAGUGGGAAAGAAAAAAAAAGGCUCGCCGGCAGCACGGCGGGAUUGGAUUGGCCAUCGGGAGCGCGAGGCACCGUUUUCAACUUUGUAGGGCCGCAGAGAUCGGGUUGUGGUAUUUAAUGCACCCCAUGCGGAGCCCGCGCUCGUUGCCGAGAUGAAGGGGGCGGCUUUACGCCUGUGAUCGUGUUUUACACGGGGCGUCUGGAGAGCCGCGAGGGCAUCUGGAGCGCCGGCAGCGCUGCUACCUGCGGGCGGGCGGCACCGCGACCGCGGCUCCGGGCAGAGGGGGCGGCCGGGGGCUGUCCGCGGGGGGCGGCCGCCUCGGAGCGCCGUGCGCGGGGCCGGGGAGCCCCCGGGGAGGACGCGCACCUCCGGCCCCCGCGGCCCGGGGGAGCGUCGGGGCUCGGUCCGCCUGAACUCUGGGUGACCCACCGAGUUAGCAUACAAUUGCCAACGACAAACAAACAAACAAGGAAAAGGCUCGCCAACAUGGAGUCCUCGCAGCGCCGAGGGGACCCCGAGGAGCAGCGAUCCUCCGCUCUGCCCCAGGCGGGACCCUCUGCAGAUGCAGAGUGAUAAUCUCCAGAAACUUAGAAUAAAGUUAAAGGGGGGCGGGAGGGGGGGGGGGGGGGCUGACUCCGGGUCCUCGGCUGGCCCCCAGCCAGCGUUCCUUAAAGGCACAGGCACCGGAGCGCCGGCGCCGGGCUCCUCCACAGCGAUCCUCCGCGGGGAAGUUGGGGAAGUUCGGGGCGAUGUCUUUAACACCGCCGGGAUGGGGCACCGGGUGCGCAGCUACCGGCGGCACCGCGUGGAAAAAAAAAAAAGAAAAAAAGAAAAAAAGAGAAAAA